rnacentral:misc_RNA from 1 species
GAUGAAGAACGCAGUGAAAUGCGAUAAGUAAUGUGAAUUGCAGAAUUCAGUGAAUCAUCGAAUCUUUGAACGCACCUUGCGCCCUUUGGCCAUUCCGAAGGGCAUGCCUGUUUGAGUAUCAUGAACACCUCAACUCUCAUGGCUUGCCAUGAUGAGCUUGGACUUUGGGGGUCUUGCUGGCCUGUGGUCAGCUCCUCUCAAAUGAAUUAGCUUUCCAGUGUUUGGUUGGCAUCACAGGUGUGAUAACUAUCUACGCUUGUGGUUUCCACCAGGUAACCUUCAGUAACAUGGGGGUUUGCUGGAGCUCAUAAAUGUCUCUCCUCAGUGGGGACAGCUCUUUGAACGUUUGAUCUCAAAUCAGGUAGGACUACCCGCUGAACUUAAGCAUAUCAAUAAGCGGAGGA